AUCUGGUCGGGGGAAAUGUAGUGAAUGUGAGUAUCUACCCCGCCAGCGGUGACAAUCAUGCCUGCUCCGCCGAUGACCUCAGUGCCCACGCCGACUUUAAUGUCGAUAUUGUCUUGGGUGUCGGGGUUACCCGCCUGCCCAAUCUUAUAAAUCCUGCCGUCUUUUACGCCGAUAUCGGCCUUGUAAAUUCCGGUGUAAUCGAUAAUUGUCGCGCUGGUAAUCACCAAAUCGACCACGUCGUCGGCGGAAACCGAACGACCGUCUUGUCCCAUACCAUCGCG
rnacentral:sRNA from 1 species